AGCGAACGCUGGCGGCAGGCUUAACACAUGCAAGUCGAACGGGCAUCUUCGGAUGUCAGUGGCAGACGGGUGAGUAGCACGUGGGAACGUACCCUUCGGUUCGGAAUAACUCAGGGAAACUUGAGCUAAUACCGGAUACGCCCUUUUGGGGAAAGGUUUACUGCCGAAGGAUCGGCCCGCGUCUGAUUAGCUUGUUGGUGGGGUAACGGCCUACCAAGGCGACGAUCAGUAGCUGGUCUGAGAGGAUGAUCAGCCACACUGGGACUGAGACACGGCCCAGACUCCUACGGGAGGCAGCAGUGGGGAAUAUUGGACAAUGGGCGCAAGCCCGAUCCAGCCAUGCCGCGUGAGUGAUGAAGGCCUUAGGGUUGUAAAGCUCUUUUGUCCGGGACGAUAAUGACGGUACCGGAAGAAUAAGCCCCGGCUAACUUCGUG
rnacentral:rRNA from 1 species